GGGUGUUUAAUAAUAAUUUUCCAAGAUUGAAAUAUUGAGAGGGAAUGAAAAUAUUUUAUAAGGGAAAGCAUUGUUGCUAAUUCCAUACAUAAUUUUCCUUCUUGUAUAGGUCUGUGGACUCCUACCACCUUGGGCACUGCCCAUCUCGACCCCGGCUCUGACUGCCCUUAGUGCUGAUUUACAGCCGCCGGUGGCUUGAUUGCUCUUCUUGCUCCCAGCACACUGCCCCUUGGGACAUGCGAUGACAGAGAGCUCCCUCAACUGCCACCAACUUCUUGGAAAGGCCUUCUGCAAGGUAGAGGUGGCGCAGUGCAGUCUAGCAGAUAGCCCAAAUAGGCAACAUCUCAGCAUUGUGGUGAGAAUAUGCCCUCAGUUAUCUGAAGAACCUCCUCAGCAAUAA
rnacentral:lncRNA from 1 species